CACUAUCGUUAACUGAAUACAUAGGUUAACGAGGCGAACCGGGGGAACUGAAACAUCUAAGUACCCCGAGGAAAAGAAAUCAACCGAGAUUCCCCCAGUAGCGGCGAGCGAACGGGGAGCAGCCCAGAGUCUGAAUCAGCUUGUGUGUUAGUGGAACGGUCUGGAAAGUCCGACGGUACAGGGUGAUAGUCCCGUACACCAAAAUGCACAGGCUGUGAACUCGAAGAGUAGGGCGGGACACGUGGUAUCCUGUCUGAAUAUGGGGGGACCAUCCUCCAAGGCUAAAUACUCCUGACUGACCGAUAGUGAACCAGUACCGUGAGGGAAAGGCGAAAAGAACCCCGGCGAGGGGAGUGAAAAAGAACCUGAAACCGUGUACGUACAAGCAGUGGGAGCACCUUCGGGUGUGACUGCGUACCUUUUGUAUAAUGGGUCAGCGACUUAUAUUCUGUAGCAAGGUUAACCGUAUAGGGGAGCCGCAGGGAAACCGAGUCUUAACUGGGCGUUAAGUUGCAGGGUAUAGACCCGAAACCCGGUGAUCUAGCCAUGGGCAGGUUGAAGGUUGGGUAACACUAACUGGAGGACCGAACCGACUAAUGUUGAAAAAUUAGCGGAUGACUUGUGGCUGGGGGUGAAAGGCCAAUCAAACCGGGAGAUAGCUGGUUCUCCCCGAAAGCUAUUU
rnacentral:rRNA from 1 species